AUGAUGAACGGGGCAGCGGCGCCCGAGCCCACGGAGGCCCCGGCCCCGUCCCCCCAGGUGCCGCUCGACUGGAGGUUCUCGCAGGUCUUUGGCGAGCGUGGCGCCGGCGAGGACGUCCAGGAUGUUGACAUCAUCUCUGCAAUAGAGUUCAAUAAAUUAGGACAUCAUCUUGCCACUGGAGACAGAGGUGGCCGAGUUGUUUUGUUUGAAAGGACAGAUGCCAAAGAUCACGUCUCUAGAAAAGAUGCUGAGAAAGCCGAUUAUUCUAUCAGCAGGCAUCCAGAAUUUCGUUACAAAACUGAGUUUCAAAGCCAUGAACCAGAGUUUGAUUACCUUAAAAGCUUGGAAAUUGAAGAGAAGAUUAACAAGAUAAAGUGGUGCCAAGAAACGAAUGGCGCAUCGUUUCUUCUGUCCACAAAUGACAAAACGAUCAAGUUUUGGAAGGUCCAAGAAAAGAAGGUUAAAAAAAUAUGUGAGAUGAAUAUGAACCCUUCAAAUGCUCCUGCAAAUGGUAGCCCUGUUGGCAGUACUAUGUGUGGUUCAAGCGCACGUACUCCAAAUGGUGGAAUUUUGAAGCCUGGUGGACUUCCUUUACUUCGCCUGCCUGUGGUAGUUACAAGCCAGGAAACAAGUCUCGCUGCAAAUUGCCGUAGAGUCUAUGCUCAUGCACAUGAUUACCAUAUCAAUUCCAUUUCAAAUAACAGUGAUGGUGAGACAUUUAUAUCAGCAGAUGAUUUGCGGAUAAAUCUUUGGAAUUUGGAAAUUAGCAAUCAAAGUUUCAACAUUGUUGACGUUAAACCAACGAACAUGGAGGAUCUCACCGAGGUUAUAACAUCUGCGGAGUUCCACCCUUCUCACUGUAAUACACUGGCAUAUAGUAGCUCAAAGGGCUCCAUUCGACUCGUUGACCUGCGGCAGUCAGCUCUUUGUGAUACUCAUUCCAAACUCUUUGAGCAGCAUGAGGCCCCAGGUUCAAGAUCCUUUUUUACUGAGAUUAUAGCCUCAAUUUCUGACAUAAAGUUCUCCAUGGACGGGAGACAUAUUGUUAGUCGUGACUACAUGACUUUGAAGCUAUGGGAUGUUAAUAUGGAUUCUGGUCCAGUUGCAACGUUCCAGGUUCACGAGUACCUAAGGCCUAAGUUAUGUGAUUUAUAUGAAAACGACUCGAUUUUUGACAAAUUUGAAUGUUGUCAAAGUGGCGAUGGGUUGCGAGUAGCAACUGGUUCUUACAGCAAUAUUUUCCGAGUGUUCAAUUGUGGUGCUGGUGGCAGUGAGGUGACAACACUUGAAGCAACUCGAAACCCUACAAGAAGGCAGAUUCAGAAUCCCGCACGGCCUGCGAGAUCUCUAGGUAGUCUUACAAGGGUUGUUAGACGAGGUGCAGAGAACACUGGAAUAGAUGCGAACGGGAACUCCUACGACUUAAGCACAAAACUGCUCCAUUUGGCAUGGCACCCGUCCGAGAAUUUAAUUGCCUGUGCUGCAGCCAACAGCUUGUACAUGUACUAUGCGUAA
rnacentral:rRNA from 1 species